GGACCCGCACAAGCAGUGGAGUAUGUGGUUUAAUUCGAUGCAACGCGAAGAACCUUACCAAGGCUUGACAUCCUACUAACGAAGUAGAAAUACAUUAGGUGCCCUUUUAGGGAAAGUAGAGACAGGUGGUGCAUGGUUGUCGUCAGCUCGUGUCGUGAGAUGUUGGGUUAAGUCCCGCAACGAGCGCAACCCUUGUGGUUAGUUGCUACGGUAAGAGCACUCUAGCCAGACUGCCGUUGACAAAACGGAGGAAGGUGGGGAUGACGUCAAAUCAUCAUGCCCUUUAUGUCUUGGGCUACACACGUACUACAAUGGCGAUUAACAGAGGGAGGCAAGCCUGCGAAGGUAAGCGAAUCCCGAAAAGUCGCCCCAGUUCAGAUUGCAGGCUGCAAUUCGCCUGCAUGAAGCCGGAAUUGCUAGUAAUCGCAGAUCAGCAUGCUGCGGUGAAUACGUUCCCGGGUCUU
rnacentral:rRNA from 1 species